CAUCCACAUCCUUAACAACUGGCUGCUGAUGUUUUUUUCCGGACUGGUGAUCUUAUUUUGUUAGUAUAAGUAUUGUAUGUAUCUUAACUUUUUCUUCCCAUUUUUUUAAAUUGCAGUUCUUCAGAACUAAAGGAAAAAUGGCGUUCUUUCCUUCAAAGGUACAUCAAGCUAGCCAAAGAGAAGGACCAGCCAAAAAGCAUUCCUCUCAGAAUCUUCACUGAGGACAUCAAGAACUGUGCCUCUGGCUCCGAGAAAGACCACCAGCUGUGGGUGAGUUCUGGCAAGGAAACGGCCCCACGCCUGCUCAUUGGACAUGAACAU